GAUUGCUCUGCUUCGACUACAUUUCCGUCCGUUUCCAUCCCCAUUUCUUUCCCUCUUUUUCUCUCCCGACUCUCUCUCACUGCCCUAUUCUCUCACGCCCGCUCACCAUCUCACUCCAGGCAAUACAUACAUGAACUCGAUGAGAAGCCACCAUCUCUUAUCUACAAAGCGAACAAGAACUCAGCAGAUUUAGAUUGUAGAAAAAUGAUCAAAAACAGCUUCAAGCAAGCACAUGAGUUUGAGAAGAGACGCGCUGAAUCUCACUCCGCCAUUCGCCCCUCCGUCCUCUCAUGAUCUCUCACACCUUCUCUCUAAUUUCAGAACAAUAUUAAGCAGCUUGAGCUCUCUUUGCAUUGAAUCAAUGGCAGUCAUCUAGAGGGAUUUCUUCUUUGUGAUCAUCUUCAUGUUUGAUUGGUGAUUUAGCGUGUGGAUUGUCUACUUCUUUGAUGAAAACUCUCACCGUUGGGACUAAUAUAGGUUUCUCAUAUUUUCUUGCACCAUUUGUGAGGGAUUUAAUUUUCCUUUUCUGGGU